rnacentral:rRNA from 1 species
AACGACUCUCGGCAACGGAUAUCUCGGCUCACGCAUCGAUGAAGAACGUAGCAAAAUGCGAUACUUGGUGUGAAUUGCAGAAUCCCGUGAACCAUCGAGUUUUUGAACGCAAGUUGCGCCCGAAACCAUCCGGUUGAGGGCACGCCUGCCUGGGUGUCACGC